rnacentral:sRNA from 2 species
AUUCUACCCAUGUGGGGAAGGAUGAGAAGCUUCGACUAAGGUUCGAUUCGAGCGCAGCGAGAAAGCGUUGCCGCAGGCAA